GCUACUGGGAACUAACUGAAUUCACAAAGAAACAGUGUUUCAGUUCGUUAAAACGUUGCUCUAUCUUGAAUAACAAGCUUAUUACAUGCGAAUCCUAUUGGGAACCUACUGAAUUCACCAUGAUACUUAGAUUCACAAAAUGUUGCUCUAUAUUGAAAAGCAGACUCAUACAAGCAUGUCCCAUUGGGAACUCACUGAAUUCGACCUACAAAUUUUGAUUCCAUUCGUGAAAAUUUUUCUAUGACCCGAACAGUCCACUUAUUACUACUGCGGCCUACUGGGAACUAACCGAUUUCACCAUGUUACUCAGAUUCGGCUCACCAAAUUUUGAUAAAUCUUUAAAAGUACACAUAGUACAAGAGCAGGCUACUGGGAACUAACUGAAUUCACAGAGAAACAGUGUUUCAGUUCGUUAAAACGUUGCUCUAUCUUGAAUAACAAGCUUAUUACAUGCGAAUCCUAUUGGGAACCUACUGAAUUCACCAUGAUACUUAGAUUCCGUUCCACAAAAUGUUGCUCUAUAUUGAAAAGCAGACUCAUACAAGCAUGUCCCAUUGGGAACUCACUGAAUUCGCCUAGAAAUUUUGAUGCCAUUCUUGAAAAUUUUUCUUUAUCCUGAACAGUCCACUUAUUACUACUGCGGC
rnacentral:lncRNA from 1 species